rnacentral:rRNA from 1 species
CUCCUUUAAAGCUAGCCCAGCCAUAAAUUUAACAACCAACAUUAACCUAACUCAACAUAAACUUCCAGUAAGACAAACAAACCAUUUUUCCUCCCUAGUAUGGGCGACAGAACCGGAACUUUGGCGCGAUAGAAAAAGUACCGCAAGGGAAAGCUGAAAGAGAUAUGAAAAAGUCCAGCAAAGGACUGUAAAGCAGAGACUAGGCCUCGUACCUUUUGCAUCAUGAUUUAGCAAGUUAUACUCAAGCAAAGGGCCCUUUAGUUUGAAACCCCGAAUCUAAGUGAGCUACUUCAAGCCCGCCCGUAUGGGGCACACCCGUCUCUGUGGCAAAAGAGUGGGAAGAGCUUUAAGUAGAGGUGAUAGACCUACCGAACUUAGUUAUAGCUGGUUGCCUAAGAAAUGAAUAGAAGUUCAGCCUUUAAGUUCUUUCCACCAAAUAAGGAAAUCCUAACCCCAGCCAGAAAGAAACUUAAAGAGUUAUUCAAGGGAGGGACAGCCCCCUUGAAAAAAGACACAACUUUACAAGAAGGUUAAAGAUUACACACCUCAAGGAUAAGCACCCAAGUGGGCCUAAAAGCAGCCAUCUUCAUAAAAAGCGUUAAAGCUCAAGUGCCCAAGUCCAAAAAUUUCAAAAAUACUAUCUAAAACCACCUUACCUAUUAGGCCCGCCCCUGCAAGCAGGGACAAGAUAAUGCUAAAAUGAGUAAUAAGAGGAAAGCACCUCUCAAGUGCACAUGUGUAAAUCAGAACGAACCCCUCACUGAAAAUUAACGCCCCCGACCAAAGUAGGGAAAUAACAAAAACUUAUUCAAAACAAGAAAACCUGUCAACUACAACAAGCGUUAACCCCACACAGGAGUGCUACAUGAAAGACAAAAGGAAAAAGAAGGAACUCGGCAAACAUUGGCCUCGCCUGUUUACCAAAAACAUCGCCUCCUGCCCCAUAGUAUAGGAGGUCCCGCCUGCCCUGUGACAAAAGUUUAACGGCCGCGGUAUUUUAACCGUGCGAAGGUAGCGUAAUCACUUGUCUUUUAAAUAGAGACCUGUAUGAAUGGCACGACGAGGGCCAAGCUGUCUCCUUUUUCUAGUCAAUGAAAUUGAUCUGUCCGUGCAGAAGCGGACAUUCUCACAUAAGACGAGAAGACCCUAUGGAGCUUAAGAUACAGAAUAGCACAUGUCAACAUACCCCCUUAAAGGAAAGAACCAAAUGUCCCCUAUUCCCCUCUUUGGUUGGGGCGACCAUGGGGCAACAGAAAACCCCCACGCAGAAAGGGAAAUUUAACCCUAAAACCAGAGCCACAGCUCUAAUUAACAGAACCUCUGACAACCAAGAUCCGGCAAAGCCGAUCAACGGACCGAGUUACCCUAGGGAUAACAGCGCAAUCCCCUCCUAGAGCCCAUAUCGACAAGGGGGUUUACGACCUCGAUGUUGGAUCAGGACUUCCUAAUGGUGCAGCCGCUAUUAAGGGUUC